UACAGAGGGUGCGAGCGUUGUUCGGAAUUAUUGGGCGUAAAGGGUAGGUAGGUGGUCUUAUUUGUCUGGGGUGAAAGCCUUGAGCUUAACUCAAGAAGUGCCCCAGAAACGGUAAGACUAGAGUCCUGGAGAGGGUCGUGGAAUUCCCGGUGUAGCGGUGAAAUGCGUAGAGAUCGGGAGGAACACCAGAGGCGAAAGCGGCGACCUGGACAGGUACUGACACUCAACUACGAAAGCGUGGGGAGCAAACAGG
rnacentral:rRNA from 1 species